rnacentral:tRNA from 1 species
UCCUGUCGCCCAGUUGGUAAAGAACCUGCCUGCAAUGUAGGAGACCCAGGUUCAAUUCCUGGGUCGGGAA